AGUGGAUGGGGAGCAACCUAGUUGUGCGUGUGUAAAGGUAGUGCCAAGAAAAGCGAUGAUCAUGUUGAAAAUCAAUUCCCGGUACCCGAAACCGACACAGGUGGGCAAGUAGAGAAUACUAAGGGGCGCGAGGUAACUCUCUCCAAGGAACUCGGCAAAAUGACCCCGUAACUUAGGGAGAAGGGGUGCCACCGAGAGGUGGUCGCAGUGAAGAGGCCCAGGCGACUGUUUAGCAAAAACAUAGGUCUCUGCAAACUCGAAAGAGGAGGUAUAGGGGCUGACGCCUGCCCAGUGCCGGAAGGUUAAAGAAGUUGGUCAGUUUUAGGAUGAAGCUAGCGACUGAAGCCCCGGUGAACGGCGGCCGUAACUAUAACGGUCCUAAGGUAGCGAAAUUCCUUGUCGGGUAAGUUCCGACCCGCACGAAAGGCGUAACGAUCUGGGCGCUGUCUCGGAGAGAGGCUCGGCGAAAUAGGAUUGUCUGUGAAGAUACGGACUACCUGCAUUUGGACAGAAAGACCCUAUGAAGCUUUACUAUAGCUUGGAAUUGUGUUCGGGCUUCCUGUGCGCAGGAUAGGUGGGAGGCGUAGAAGGUAUUCUUGUGGGGAUACUGGAGCCAACGGUGAGAUACCACUCUCAGGAGGCUAGAAUUCUAACUUAAUUAAGGACAGUUUCAGGUGGGUAGUUUGACUGGGGCGGUCGCCUCCAAAAAGGUAACGGAGGCGUACAAAGGUUCCCUCAGACUGGUUGGAAAUCAGUCGAAGAGUGCAAAGGCAGAAGGGAGCUUGACUGCGAGAAGUACAGUUCGAGCAGGGUGGAAACACGGUCUUAGUGAUCCGACGGUGCUGUGUGGAAGGGCCGUCGCUCAACGGAUAAAAGUUACUCUAGGAUAACAGGCUGAUCUCCCCCAAGAGUUCACAUCGACGGGGAGGUUUGGCACCUCGAUGUCGGCUCAUCGCAACCUGGGGCGGAAGUACGUCCCAAGGGUUGGGCUGUUCGCCCAUUAAAGCGGUACGUGAGCUGGGUUCAGAACGUCGUGAGACAGUUCGGUCCAUGUCCGAUGUAGGCGUGAGAAUAUUGAGAGGAGCCUUCCUUAGUACGAGAGGACCGGGAAGGACGCACCGCUGGUGUACCUGUUAUGAUGCCAAUUGUAAACGCAGGGUAGCCAAGUGCGGAGAGGAUAACCGCUGAAAGCAUCUAAGUGGGAAGCCCACCUCAAGAUGAGUAUUCUGGUGUAAGGUCACGGGAAGACGACCCGUAAAUAGGCACGAGGUGGAAGUGCAGAGAUGUAUGAAGCCGAAGUGUACUAAUAGACCGUCGGCUUGACC
rnacentral:rRNA from 1 species